rnacentral:rRNA from 1 species
UAGGGAAUCUUCCGCAAUGGGCGAAAGCUUGCCGGAGCAACGCCGCGUGAGUGAUGAAGGUCUUCGGAUCGUAAAACUCUGUUAUUAGGGAAGAACAAAUGUGUAAGUAACUAUGCACGUCUUGACGGUACCUAAUCAGAAAGCCACGGCUAACUACGUGCCAGCAGCCGCGGUAAUACGUAGGUGGCAAGCGUUAUCCGGAAUUAUUGGGCGUAAAGCGCGCGUAGGCGGUUUUUUAAGUCUGAUGUGAAAGCCCACGGCUCAACCGUGGAGGGUCAUUGGAAACUGGAAAACUUGAGUGCAGAAGAGGAAAGGGGAAUUCCAUGUGUAGCGGUGAAAUGCGCAGAGAUAUGGGGGAACACCAGUGGCGAAGGCGACUUUCUGGUCUGUAACUGACGCUGAUGUGCGAAAGCGUGGGGAUCAAACAGG